GAUGAACGCUAGCGGGAGGCCUAAUACAUGCAAGUCGAACGGUAACAGGUAGCAAUACGCUGACGAGUGGCGCACGGGUGCGUAACGCGUACACAAUCUGCCUUAUACUGGGGCAUAGCCUUUGGAAACGAAGAAUAAUUCCCCAUAAUAUAUAGAAGAGGCAUCUCUUUUAUAUUAAAGCUCAGGCGGUAUAAGAUGAGUGUGCGUCCGAUUAGGUAGUUGGUGAGGUAACGGCUCACCAAGCCAACGAUCGGUAGCUGGUCUGAGAGGAUGAUCAGCCACACGGGCACUGAGACACGGGCCCGACUCCUACGGGAGGCAGCAGUAGGGAAUAUUGGACAAUGGGCGCAAGCCUGAUCCAGCCAUCCCGCGUGAAGGAUGAAGGUCCUCUGGAUUGUAAACUUCUUUUCUUCGGGAAUAAAAACUGGGGUUCUCCUCAGCUUGAAGGUACCGAAGGAAUAAGCACCGGCUAACUCCGUGCCAGCAGCCGCGGUAAAGU
rnacentral:rRNA from 1 species